UUAAAAUUUUCAGAAAAUGGCGUCUUUUUCUGAUGUUCUUAUGUUUGUCAUUUCGUUGCUGGUGGCGAUUGGAUUGGUAUUUCUUUUUGUGCUGUUUUGUUGGGGUGUAGCAUGGAAGUUACUAUUAUCACACUUUGGGCUCAUGCGAGCACUAGUGGACUCUAAUGAAAAACCAUCCACCACUCAAACCCGUCACACAAGAACUCGCCAAACUAAAAGUGACUUUUAUAUUAACAGUAACACUAGAUCACUUCAUAAUAGAUAAUGAUUACAUAUUUGAAAUUGGAUUCUAUAUUAAGCACACAUGUAUUUUUUAUCAUUUUAAGAUUGAUAUUUGUGGAAUAGAUGCCAGCUAUUUUAAUGAUUAA